GCAGCACAGAGAAGCUUGCUUCUCGGGUGGCGAGUGGCGAACGGGUGAGUAACAUAUCGGAACGUACCGAGUAGUGGGGGAUAACUGAUCGAAAGAUCAGCUAAUACCGCAUACGUCUUGAGAGAGAAAGCAGGGGACUUUCGGGCCUUGCGCUAUUCGAGCGGCCGAUAUCUGAUUAGCUGGUUGGUGGGGUAAAGGCCUACCAAGGCGACGAUCAGUAGCGGGUCUGAGAGGAUGAUCCGCCACACUGGGACUGAGACACGGCCCAGACUCCUACGGGAGGCAGCAGUGGGGAAUUUUGGACAAUGGGCGCAAGCCUGAUCCAGCCAUGCCGCGUGUCUGAAGAAGGCCUUCGGGUUGUAAAGGACUUUUGUCAGGGAAGAAAAGGCUGUUGCUAAUACCAGCGGCCGAUGACGGUACCUGAAGAAUAAGCACCGGCUAACUACGUGCCAGCAGCCGCGGUAAUACGUAGGGUGCGAGCGUUAAUCGGAAUUACUGGGCGUAAAGCGGGCGCAGACGGUUACUUAAGCAGGAUGUGAAAUCCCCGGGCUCAACCCGGGAACUGCGUUCUGAACUGGGUGACUCGAGUGUGUCAGAGGGAGGUAGAAUUCCACGUGUAGCAGUGAAAUGCGUAGAGAUGUGGAGGAAUACCGAUGGCGAAGGCAGCCUCCUGGGAUAACACUGACGUUCAUGCCCGAAAGCGUGGGUAGCAAAC
rnacentral:rRNA from 1 species